CUCUGGGAUAAUCCGAAUCAGACAUACAGAAAACUGUAUGUCGACCGAACUGCGCAUGCGUUGGCAAAAGCAAAAUAAAUUGUUUGAAAUAUUUUAUUGUUUCGUCUAUAAAAUGAUUAUUUUUUCGGGGUUUUGGUGGAAAUGUUGAUGUUCUUCAUAGUGGGAUACAAAAGGUGUGUUAGCGACUGAAUAAGGAAAAUAUUGCGUGUGAAACAGGGUCAGUAUAGAGCCGGCAGGAGCCGCGAAGAGUGCUGUUGUCGAAGAAAAAUGUCACAAUUAAUUGUAAUCUUGUCCAUUCACCUCUGUGUCAGUUUGAAAAAGCUUUAAAUGUAGAGACAUUUGUGGUUUCUCCAGCAUAAUUUAGCCGUUUAACGCUAUUAUGUUUCUAAUGGUUGAAAGAGCGCGUGGAAAGGGCAAUUUUCAAAAACAAAAACAAUCGAUGUACUGUGUGUUAAUUGCUACGUACUGUAGUAUAAAAAUACUUGAAGAGAGUCUCAAUUCUAAUAUUAAGUCGGUUAUAAACCUUGAUAAAUAUUAAAGUUUUCAGAAGAUUUGUAUAUCAGAG